GACGAACGCUGGCGGCGUGCUUAACACAUGCAAGUCGAACGCUGAAGCUUGGUGCUUGCACUGGGUGGAUGAGUGGCGAACGGGUGAGUAAUACGUGAGUAACCUGCCCUUGACUCUGGGAUAAGCCUGGGAAACUGGGUCUAAUACUGGAUACGACAUGUCACCGCAUGGUGGUGUGUGGAAAGGGUUUUACUGGUUUUGGAUGGGCUCACGGCCUAUCAGCUUGUUGGUGGGGUAAUGGCUCACCAAGGCGACGACGGGUAGCCGGCCUGAGAGGGUGACCGGCCACACUGGGACUGAGACACGGCCCAGACUCCUACGGGAGGCAGCAGUGGGGAAUAUUGCACAAUGGGCGGAAGCCUGAUGCAGCGACGCCGCGUGAGGGAUGACGGCCUUCGGGUUGCAAACCUCUUUCAGCACGGAAGAAGCGAAAGUGACGGUACGUGCAGAAGAAGCGCCGGCUAACUACGUG
rnacentral:rRNA from 1 species